UACGUAGGGUGCGAGCGUUAAUCGGAAUUACUGGGCGUAAAGCGUGCGCAGGCGGUUCGUUAUGUCCGAUGUGAAAGCCCCCGAGCUCAACUUGGGAAUGGCAUUGGAAACUGGCGGGCUGGAGUGUGGCAGAGGGGGGUGGAAUUCCACGUGUAGCAGUGAAAUGCGUAGAGAUGUGGAGGAACACCGAUGGCGAAGGCAGCCCCCUGGGCCAACACUGACGCUCAGGCACGAAAGCGUGGGGAGCAAACAGG
rnacentral:rRNA from 1 species